rnacentral:misc_RNA from 1 species
GAUGAAGAACGUAGCGAAAUGCGAUAAGUAAUGUGAAUUGCAGAAUUCAGUGAAUCAUCGAAUCUUUGAACGCACAUUGCGCCCCCUGGUAUUCCGGGGGGCAUGCCUGUCCGAGCGUCAUUACAACCCUCAAGCUCAGCUUGGUGUUGGGCCCCGCCGCCCCGGCGGGCCCUAAAGUCAGUGGCGGUGCCGUCCGGCUCCGAGCGUAGUAAUUCUUCUCGCUCUGGAGGCCCGGUCGUGUGCUCGCCAGCAACCCCCAAUUUUUUUCAGGUUGACCUCGGAUCAGGUAGGGAUACCCGCUGAACUUAAGCAUAUCAUAGCGGAGGA